UGAGAAUUGUUCCUGAUGCAGCUCUGAGACCCAGCAGGUUCUGACCAAGGGAAGAAGUGGCCCGUAACACACAAUAAUUCACUUAAUUGCAGCAACGGCUGCUCAAGACACAUGCAGAGCUGUGAAAAAUUCCAGUUGUUGGAUGUGCACAUUCCCAGCCGAGGUCCACCAAGGCCACACUCUGCCUCCCUAUUCAUCUCUCACACUUCUGGCAUGGAAUGGCUGGAGCUCUAGCACCUCCCUCGGACCAUGAGGUGACCUUUGGAAUGGAAGCUAGUGCCAGAAGACAGAAGGGGCUUGCAUCUGUGAUGAUUUCCCAGACCUGUCCUACCAACCCCAGACUGCCUGCCUCGGGCGCUGUACUCAGACCUCUGUUACUCACACCUCAACCUAACUGUAAACACUGCAGUAUUGUUAUCCCAUUGUACAGAAGAAAACUGAGGUUUACAGGUACAUAGAAUUUACCCAAGGUCAAAAGUAAGUAAGUGGUUGAGGCUGAGCUUGACUUCCAAUUUGUUUCAUUUACAAAUUCUAUCUUUCUUCCAAUGCUGCUAGAGAGAGAUGGGGGGUGGGGUACGUGGGGGAAAGAACCAUCUGGAGCUCCUGCCCCAUCUUUUAGACAAUUUUCUCUAUGUGAACCCAAAGAGGUGACAGGAGUGGUAUGUGAUAGCAGCCUAGCAAAACAGUCCCUUUACUAGGGCGGGUAGCAAAGAGAGCUGGUUUUAUUCAUUAUGUUCGCUCCCUGUCUCUACUGUGGGGACACUCAGCAAGGAACAUUGUGGACCGAAAGACUGUUGGUUUGGGAAACAUCGCUAAUUCCAGAAUAAGUGAUAGGGAAGGCCAGACUGAAAGAGCAAAAAGUCUCAAUAACAGACAGUCUGGGAAAGAACUGGGGCUGGGUUUGAAGGCAGGCUGCCUCAGUCAGGGCGAUUAGUAAUGCCCUCUUUGAGGAGGGGCCAGACAGAUUAAAAAGCUCCAAAGCACAAGGCCACCUCCUUCUGGAGAAGAUCCUAGCCAGAGCCUUACUAGAGCAUGAAGGAAAGCUCUGGCUGAGAUGGGUCACACAACCAGGGGACUCUAGUUCAAACCCCAGGACCUAGCAGACAAACCAACCUUCCCUUGUUGUUGAAGGGAUGCUUGUCAACUCAACUUCUGUGCAGCCUUUUCCUGUUUAAGGACCUGCUUCUCCUUUCAUUCACUCACCCUGACCUAAAAUAGGACCUUCCCACAGGAACGGUCAAGAAGGAUUUGUUAUUGGCUUAUCACUUAGCCACAGGUUAGUGGGUGCUUCUCACGGAUCUGAAAAGAUUCCUCAAGUUAAGCCCAAUAUUUCUGUUUUACUCUAGUCUAUAACUACUACAUACUAGCAAACUCUUUUCACAGACUGCAGGGCCGUUCCUUUAUCCAAAUAUUCCCAGUAAUAGUCUGGGCUUUUAUGGUGGCGAGUGUUAGAAAUGUAACUCAAACUAAGAUAAGCAAAAGGAAGGAGAAGAUGUAUUGAUUUUUCUUUUGGUGGCUGGCUGGUGCAGGAAUGCAACCCUGGACACUGGUGUUAGCAACACCAUGCUGUAACUGAUUGAGCUACCCAGCCAUGUAUUGAUUUCUAUCAGGAUUGGAUGGACCUAACAUUGGGCACACAGGGAUACCUACAUGGCUGCUAUUCAUGUACCACCUCAAACUGGGUUGUUCUCCUCUCCUACUGCAGAUGGGUUCCAAUAUGGGUUGGAAAAUGGCAGCCGGCAAACCAGAUCCUGUUCUUCCAGCACAGUGGCCAAACAGGCAAGAGAAUCUUUCCCACAGAUCCUACCUGCUCAAGAAGUGAUUGGCCCAUCUGGGCCACGUGCCCAUCCCAGGGCAAGCGGGCACUCUGAUACCCUGGGCCUGUGUCACUUGCCCACCUCUCGCAGGGUCAGGUGCUAUGAAUGGUAGGACCUACCAGAAUAACAUGAUUAUAGUUCUGCUUAAAGAAAUGAGGUGCAUCCAGAAAAAAGUAACUCAUUCCCACUUCAGUCCAACAUUGCACUUUUGUGGAUGAAGGUUCUUCUGUGCAUGUUUGCAAAACCAAGUGCCCUACCAAAGCCAGGUUGCAGGUGGAUUUCUCAGUGCACUUCACUUCCAAAUCUGGGGUGGGGAUUCUUCUCCCCACCCCCACCCCCAACUCCGAUCCUGCCUUCUGUCUUCCUGAAAAUCUCCCCUCACUUUCCUACCUGCUUUUGUUUGGAUGAGGAUCUUAACCACCAGUUAAUAAACUUCCUGGGACAGAUCUUGCCAUUCUCCCUCUAAGAGGGUGAGCUUUCUCCGUUGCAGGAGAGGGGAAUCCCUCUCUGGUCCUCUGACAGCUGCCCUAGCCACAUUCUGAAGACAGAAGAUCUGGUAAGCUGGGAUGACAAUUCCAGACGACAUCUGACCCUUCAACCACGGCAGGCUGAGUAGCAGCUGAAUGCAAAGUCACAGCUGGACGUAGACAGUUCCAGGCCACCAAGAGGACAAGAGGGACAUGUAGACCUAGCUGUCUUCUGUGGAAAGAAGGGGCAAGUGGAUCCAAUCUGCUUGAUGCCUCCCAGUUCUAGCUGAGAGACACCGGGUAUAAGCUCCUUAUGAUUUUUUCCCCCCAAACUGCUUGGGCCAUAAAAUAAAGCACCCCUUCUCAAGGAACUCAACUCCACUGAUGAGUUGUGUGCAUAUUGUGCCAUUCACAGCAACCUUAGCGUGGCCAGGAGUCUACAACCACCUGGAGAACUUCCAGGCUUGGCUCCACUACAAUGUUAUGAAGGCGAUCAGUAUCUACAGCUAGUUACUUCUGUUCUCUCCCUGCUGCGGAGAGACCAGGACACCACUCCUAACAGAGUAGAAGUUUGUGCCUAAGAGAGGGCUCAAAUGAGCAAUCUCAACAUACAGAGGCAAUUGUAUGGUAUUCCAGAACUCGGAUGGCCUCAGGAGUCAAUCUCAUCUUAUUUCUCCUUUUAUGGUAGUGUCCCCACCCCGUUAGGCUGUCAGCCUGGUGUUUUAAAGGAGGUUCCCCCGACCAUCUUUCUUGGAGGUCCUCUCUUUGAUGACCAUUAGAGUCAAGGUUAUCAUUUUCUGUCUGGUCACACUCCUUUCUGCUGCACAUCGUGCCCUACUUUCUUCAUCAUCUCACCCAGUUGAAGGCAAAGGACAGUGAACCUAGUGAAGGGAAGCUGGGUGCUCAAUACUGUUUCACUCCUGGCAUACAUAGGGAGGGACUGUAGGUGCUUAUGUGAAACUUUCCUUUUUGCCCUGUUGUUUCCACUGGUCCCAUUUCUGACAGCAAAGUCAUGGCUAUGCUCAAGAGCUUUCUUUUUAAAUGUUUAUCUUUUUCUCCCUCUUUUCAGUGCUGGGGUCUAGAGGAAAUCAGAAGAAAGCAACAGAUCCUUCUAAAGUUUCAGCUCAAGCUCUCUUCCCCGUGGAGGGACUCUGCUUCCAGAAUUGAGCCAUUUCUCGGCACAUUGGUCUAUUUUUGCAGUAGAGUUGGCUGCUCCGUGCCAAGGUUUCUUACCGCAAAUAGAACUUCUGGAAGGGCCUGUUGGUUUCCUCUGGGCUUUCAGACACCUAUUCACAUUUCAUUUGGCUUUCCUUCCCCAUCCCCAAAAGGAAAUAUUUGGAGUCUCUUCUGUUUUGUUGUUGCUGCAGGCACCUUUUGAGGCUCAUCAGGGGGAUUCCUUCAAAGCAGCAGCAAGCUUCACCUGUACUCUUGUGCUCUGGCUUCUGGCACACCCCUCUGCCACUCCUAGGAAACUGGGCAGGAAGCCCCAGGGGUAGCCAGAGUGCCAGUCUGAAUCCCAAACCAUAGGCUCAUAUCUGAGUGGAAUGGCAAAAGAGACAAACCACCAACGCCCACCAUAGCGACGAACCUGUCCCCUCAGACUCCCUGGUCCUCCCAAGUGCCUCUGGCCCCACCUGUGACUCGAGAAUUUGAAAAUUCAUCAUGCUAAGUGUAAUGGGCAAGGUAAUACAACUGAGAUACCUACAAGGGAUGCCUAAAGGCUAAAUACUCUAGAAACAAUUCCCAAAUCAAAUUAGAACAGGUGGGGGAAAAAUAAAAGAUCACCUCACUAGCUCACUAAGGACUGUCAACAAGGCAAGAGCUACAUGUGCCCAAGACUGGCUUUGGUUUGUCUGGGUCCAAGGUUAGCAGAUGCAGGGGAAAGCCACUUCCCGUGGCAUUCAAGACAGAGCUUUAGAAAAUUCCAGAGCAACAGCAUACCCAAUAAUUUGAAAGGCUCCCACAUUAUGUAAGUGUCCCAACUCCUCUCAGGCAGUGUGACUGUUAAAACCCCAGUUUCUGGCAAACAGACUUGGUUCAAAUUUCAGUGCUUCCACUUACUUGCUGUGUGACCUUAGGAUAUUUCUAAACUACUCUAAGUUUUUAUUUCCCCUCCCAAGGGAAUGAAGGGGAUAAUAAUAAUGUGUCCAGAACAUAAUAAACC